AGACUAUAGCUUAUUUAAAAGUAUAUUACUUACAUUAAUAAGAAAAUCUUUGAUUUAGUUUUA
rnacentral:tRNA from 1 species